rnacentral:rRNA from 1 species
AUACGAAGGGGGCUAGCGUUGUUCGGAAUCACUGGGCGUAAAGCGCACGUAGGCGGACUUUUAAGUCAGGGGUGAAAUCCCAAGGCUCAACCUUGGAACUGCCCUUGAUACUGAGAGUCUCGAGUCCGAGAGAGGUGAGUGGAACUCCGAGUGUAGAGGUGAAAUUCGUAGAUAUUCGGAAGAACACCAGUGGCGAAGGCGGCUCACUGGCUCGGUACUGACGCUGAGGUGCGAAAGCGUGGGGAGC